AAAUAAUAAGGUGAUGGAGUUCACCAUAACCGCAGAAAUGCUUAUGACUCCUACAAAUAA
rfam:Clostridium kluyveri DSM 555, complete genome.